GGCCUCAUCGUCUAACGGCUAGGACGUAACCUUCUCAAGGUUAAAAUCGGAGUUCGAUUCUCCGUGGGGCUG
rnacentral:tRNA from 3 species